CGAUGCUACACGAAGAACCUUACCAAGGUUGACAUGCUAAGUGGUAGUGAUCUGAAAGUGAACGACCUUCGGGAGCUUGCACAGGUGCUGCAUGGCUGCGUCAGCCCGUGUCGUGAGAUGUUCGGUUAAGUCCGCUAACGAGCGCAGCCCUCACUGUGUGUUAUACGUGUCACACGGGGACUGCCGGUUUUAAGCCGGAGGAAGGCGAGGAUGAAGUCAAGUCAGCAUGGCCUUUAUAUCUUGGGCUACACACACGCUACAAUGGUCUGUACAACAGGUUGCCAAGCCGCGAGGCGGAGCCAAUCCUAAAAGCAGGCCUCAGUUCAGAUUGUAGGCUGCAACCCGCCUGCAUGAAGAUGGAGUUGCUAGUAACCGCAGGUCAGCUAUACUGCGGUGAAUACGUUCCCGGGUCUU
rnacentral:rRNA from 1 species